rnacentral:rRNA from 1 species
CCUACGGGGGGCUGCAGUGGGGAAUAUUGGACAAUGGGCGCAAGCCUGAUCCAGCAAUGCCGCGUGUGUGAAGAAGGCCUGCGGGUUGUAAAGCACUUUUGUUCGGGAAGAAAUCAUGCUGGUUAAUACCUGGUAUGGAUGACGGUACCGAAAGAAUAAGCACCGGCUAACUUCGUGCCAGCAGCCGCGGUAAUACGAAGGGUGCAAGCGUUAAUCGGAAUUACUGGGCGUAAAGGGUGCGUAGGCGGCCUUUUAAGUCGGAUGUGAAAUCCCCGGGCUCAACCUGGGAAUGGCAUUCGAUACUGGGAGGCUAGAGUUUGGGAGAGGGUGGUGGAAUUCCCGGUGUAGCGGUGAAAUGCGUAGAGAUCGGGAGGAACAUCAGUGGCGAAGGCGGCCACCUGGCCUAAAACUGACGCUGAGGCACGAAAGCGUGGGGAGCAAACAGGCUUAGAUACCCCGGUAGUC